UUAAACGGCCGCGGUAUUCUGACCGUGCAAAGGUAGCAUAAUCACUUGUUCUCUAAAUAAGGACUAGUAUGAACGGCUAGACGAGGGUUUUACUGUCUCUCAUCUGUAACCAGUGAAAUUGACCUCCCCGUGAAGAGGCGGGGAUAACAUAAUAAGACGAGAAGACCCUAUGGAGCUUUAGUUAAACAGCUUAAAAUUAACUCAAUUACACUCUAAUAGAGAUAUAAAAACUAAUUAACCUAAGCUGUCAACUUUGGUUGGGGUGACCUCGGAGCAAAAAACAACCUACGAGCGGUCAAAUCCAGACUAACAAGUCUAGACAAUCCGUCAAUUGAUCCAACAACUUGAUCAACGGAACAAGUUACCCUAGGGAUAACAGCGCAAUCCUAUUCAAGAGUCCAUAUCGACAAUAGGGUUUACGACCUCGAUGUUGGAUCAGGACAUCCCAAUGGUGCAGCAGCUAUUAAUGGUUCGUUU
rnacentral:rRNA from 1 species